ensembl:miRNA mdo-mir-7286b mdo-mir-7286b
UGGGAGCUCACAAUCUCAUGGGAGAGACAUCAUGUAAAUAACAUUAGAAUGUGAACUCCUUAAGAG